rnacentral:rRNA from 1 species
GUGGGGGAUAUUGCACAAUGGGCGCAAGCCUGAUGCAGCGACGCCGCGUGUGGGAAGACGGCCCUCGGGUUGUAAACCACUGGCUUUGGGGACGAUAAUGACGGUACCCAAGGAGGAAGCUCCGGCUAACUACGUGCCAGCAGCCGCGGUAAUACGUAGGGAGCGAGCGUUGUCCGGAAUUACUGGGUGUAAAGGGAGCGUAGGCGGGAGUGCAAGUUGAAUGUUUAAUCUAUGGGCUCAACCCAUAUCAGCGUUCAAAACUGCAUUUCUUGAGUGAAGUAGAGGUUGGCGGAAUUCCUAGUGUAGCGGUGAAAUGCGUAGAUAUUAGGAGGAACACCAGUGGCGAAGGCGGCCAACUGGGCUUUUACUGACGCUGAGGCUCGAAAGCGUGGGGAGCAAACAGGA